rnacentral:rRNA from 1 species
CACGAACGCUGGCGGCAGGCUUAACACAUGCAGGUCGAGCGCCCCGCAAGGGGAGCGGCAGACGGGUGAGUAACGCGUGGGAAUCUACCCAUCUCUACGGAAUAACGCAUGGAAACGUGUGCUAAUACCGUAUACGUCCUUCGGGAGAAAGAUUUAUCGGAGAUGGAUGAGCCCGCGUUGGAUUAGCUAGUUGGUGGGGUAAAGGCCUACCAAGGCGACGAUCCAUAGCUGGUCUGAGAGGAUGAUCAGCCACACUGGGACUGAGACACGGCCCAGACUCCUACGGGAGGCAGCAGUGGGGAAUAUUGGACAAUGGCGCAAGCCUGAUCCAGCCAUGCCGCGUGAGUGAUGAAGGCCCUAGGGUUGUAAAGCUCUUUCACCGGUGAAGAUAAUGACGGUAACCGGAGAAGAAGCCCCGGCUAACUUCGUGCCAGCCGCCGCCGUAAAAC